AUAUAUAUAUAUAUAUUAUGUAAAAUAAUUAAACAAUGAAGGUCUCAGGACUUCUAUGUUAGCAAGAAAUUGCAAUAACUUAAUGAAGUUAUUAUUAUUAAAUAAAUUCUGCCAUAAAGUUAAUUAUAACAACAUUAAUAUAGCCAAUAUUGACUGAAACAGGAGUAAGUAUAAUGAGUAUUAGGACAAAUUGUAAUGACAUCUUCUCUCUCUCAGGACUCUCUGAUAAUUGAAUUGAUGCAACACCAAGUAAUUUCACUAUCACUUUCCCUGGUUUCAAAAUAAGUAAACAGCAAUCCAUAAGAGGAAGGGUUCCUCUUAUGUAACACCUACUGAGAGGGAAAGAUUCACGACUCUGGCUUUUGAUGUCAUCAUUCAGUUGAUGACGUCAUCAUUCUCAGCUUUGAUUGGUUACCUAGUUGUGUGGGACCAUGCAACGUAUGAUAUUGCCAUUUGUUGCUUGUAGGAAAUUUUUGAAAUUUUUUUUCUCGAAAAUAUAAGACGAUUUCUUAUAUUUGUACUGAUCAUAUUGCUGUAAAUAUGAAAAUGUAUAUUUAUCAGUAAUUAAACUAAAUAUUACUCAUGUAUAUAAAGUGAUAUAUUUCGUAUUUCCUUCCUUUAAAGGGUGACUAGUUUGCUUAUUUUUGGUAAAGUUUCUAGAUUGAAUCCACUAUGCUCAUAAUUAAAAUUAUUUAUAUAUAGCCUAUAUAUAUAUAGAUAGAUACAUAGAUACAUAGAUAACUAUAUAUAUAUAUAUAUAUAUAUAUAUAUAUAUAUAUAUGUAGAUAGGUUGAUGAAUAUUUGCUUCUCUGCACAGAUAGAUGGAUAGAUAGUAAAUAGAGACAGAUAGAUAAACAUAGAAAUAGCAUUCUCCACUCUCCCUCUCUCUCUCUUCUUGCAAGAUUCAUUUGCAACAACUUCACCAAAUAACAGUCUAAAAUAGAUGGGACUUUUGUAUAUAUAUUUCUUAAAAACUCGGAAAAAGUAAAGAAAUUCCAGCAAGGCCCCAUUAUUUAGAGAUUUUCAAAAUUAUAGGGCGAUUUCUUUUAUUUAGAUUGAUCAUAUUACUGUACAAUAUGAAAAAGUUUAUUUACCUUAAAUUAAACUUAAUGGUGAUCUUGUAUAUAGUGAUUUAUUUCGUAUUUCUUUCUUUGAACAGUUAUCAGUUUGCUUAUCUUUCUAAUAUCCAUUGUAGCCAACCUUGGCUGAAAGAUAUCCCUAAGUUAUGAUUUGUUUUCUAUGGAUUUGAGAGCCAUUUCUCUGUAAUUACUUAUCAUAUUAAUUAAAAACUUUCUGAAAUAUCCAUUUUAACAGGUGUGCAACUUGGUCGUCAUCUUUCCUAGCUACCUUAUUUGCCGUUUCCUUUCUUUAUUUUGUAUUGGAUUGCUGCACUUCAUCAGUAAAGUUAAAUUCAUCCCAGUAUUGCUAUCUCAAAAUAACAUUGAAGCCCAGAAGGUUGGUGGCAAAAUGUAUUAUAUUUCCUGGAGGUAACCUGUCCUCAGCACUACUGAAUGAUAAGACGAGGUUUCACUUCAGAGCCAACGGCCAUUUCAAAUCAAGUGGUUUUAGUACAUCCAUAAAAACAAUUUGAUAUCUCUCGUUUUUAUUUAAUUAAAUCGUUCAAGUCAUUCUAUUACUGGAUAAGAAAAAAAAAAAAAAAAAAAAAAGUGAUUUUAUUACUAACGCUGAAUCCACAUAGCGAAUUGCAUAAAUCAGUCAACCCAUACCCUUAACAUAGCCAAUAAGGCAAAUAUUGGUACUUUGUCUAUUAUUGCAGAUGCUUUGCUUUUAAAUAAUCAGUGGCAUUGAGACAUUCAUCUCUGGAGUAAACGAUGUCGCCAGUCAGCUUAUGAGAACUAUUUGGCUAAGCUUGUUAGUUUAGUAGCUUUUUUGUAGUGAAUUAAUAAUCGAGAGAUAAAAUAAGUAAAUUUACUAGAUCUGAUUAUACCCCUUGAGGUUUAUAAUUGCGAAAUCAACGCAAUAGUUAAGGUAGUUGUUACACUAAAAAUCCCGAAAUUGAGUCAUUAAAGUAACAGAAAAAUAAUAAUAAUAAAAAAAGUCAAUUAUUUGAGUUGCAAAACGAACUAGAUGUCUGAAUUAUGUAAACUUCAAUUUAGCUGAGAUUGUUUUAUUUGUCGGAUAAGUGCAAAUAAAUAUAACGCAAAUAUGACAGUUUUGAUUUUAUAACUUGUAAAUGUUUGAAAAAAUCAAUCUUAGUGGUUAAAUUAUUUUGAUAACUGAAUUGUAUCAAACUGAUUUGAUGGAUGUACUGAAACCACUUUUGUUUGUACCAAAACGACGGAGGAAGAACUAGGAACCAUUUACGCCUAAAUGUGUAACUGACGUCCAGAUAGAAUGUUAUUCACCAUUCGUGAGAGGAUAGGAGUCGACGAUUGAACUAGGCGAUGAUUCGUUGGUUCGCUUGAAGGUCUACAGCCAUUUCGAUCCAAGUCGUUACAAUACAUCCAUGAAGACCAAAUCUAAUUGGUAACAACUCACGGUCUUUCAACAGUUCGGUCAAGUCAUCAAUUAAUGAAUAAAACGGGAAAAAAACUUCGUAUCUUGAUAUUACACGUGUGUGAUUAUGCAUUUCUCUUCAUUUUGUGAACGCUACAUUCAUAAAGUAAUUGAUUGAUAAGUGUAUCCCAUCCCUUAGCAGAGCAUUAAGAAGUAUCCUUCAGAACAAGUACAACAUCAAAAACUCAAUGGAUGUAGAACGAAAUUAAUGACAGGCGUAAAAUAAAAUAUAGAACGCAGUGUUAAUGAACUAGGCCUAAGCGUAAAUUUAAAGUACACUUUGCUGCAGCUUUGUAGAUUAGAUUAGAUAUUUAAUUGACCACAACUAUUAUUUACAUUUGGUCCAACAAAAGGCAAAACACUACACUUGGCAAUACAACAUAUUAUAUACACAAAAGUAAGAGUAACAGGUUUUUAUCUUAUACAACAAUAAAACAAAAACUAAGAGUUAUCAUAUGGCAAACAAAAUUAAGAACAAAAUUUGACAUUUAUAUACAAAAAUCAUACUCCAAAAAGCUAUUUUUCUCAUUUUUUUUCCACCUCACAAAUAUUCAGAAAUACUCUUAAAGGAUUAAGCUAAUAAUCUUACAUUGCUCUGCCAGGGUUCGCUGAUUUGAAAAUAUAUCCCUCAUGUUAGAUAAAUUAUAGGUAGCUAUCUCUGAUAUGUUGUGUCCUUGAACAUAUUUGCAUUACGUGUACUUCUGUUUGAAUGGUUCCACAGGUACAUAACCGCUCCUCCAACGGCAGACGGCCUCUCCCCCUCCUACCUACUUCCACGGCUAGAGAGAGAGAUGCAAUUCUGAACCUAGUAAAUGAGACUAUCCAAUUCAGAAACAUAAUGCCUAACAGAAUAGAUGUCAUGAACUAA